UAGAUAUUAGUAAAACAUUACAUAACUUUGUCAAAGUUAAAUUACUGGUUUAAACCCUGUAUAUCUUU
rnacentral:tRNA from 1 species